rnacentral:rRNA from 1 species
AAUUCGAUGCAACGCGAAAACCUUACCUACCCUUGACAUGUCCGGAAUCCCGAAGAGAUUUGGGAGUGCUCGCAAGAGAACCGGAACACAGGUGCUGCAUGGCUGUCGUCAGCUCGUGUCGUGAGAUGUUGGGUUAAGUCCCGCAACGAGCGCAACCCUUGUCAUUAGUUGCCAUCAUUUGGUUGGGCACUCUAAUGAGACUGCCGGUGACAAACCGGAGGAAGGUGGGGAUGACGUCAAGUCCUCAUGGCCCUUAUGGGUAGGGCUUCACACGUCAUACAAUGGUCGGUACAGAGGGUUGCCAACCCGCGAGGGGGAGCUAAUCCCACAAAGCCGAUCGUAGUCCGGAUCGCAGUCUGCAACUCGACUGCGUGAAGUCGGAAUCGCUAGUAAUCGUGGAUCAGCAUGUCACGGUGAAUACGUUCCCGGGUCUU